rnacentral:rRNA from 1 species
GAUGAACGCUGGCGGCGUGCUUAACACAUGCAAGUCGAACGGAAAGGCCCAAGCUUGCUUGGGUACUCGAGUGGCGAACGGGUGGGUAACACGUGGGUGAUCUGCCCUGCACUUCGGGAUAAGCCUGGGAAACUGGGUCUAAUACCGGAUAGGACGAUGGUUUGGAUGCCAUUGUGGAAAGUUUUUUCGGUGUGGGAUGAGCUCGCGGCCUAUCAGCUUGUUGGUGGGGUAAUGGCCUACCAAGGCGUCGACGGGUAGCCGGCCUGAGAGGGUGUACGGCGACAUUGGGACUGAGAUACGGCCCAGACUCCUACGGGAGGCAGCAGUGGGGAAUAUUGCACAAUGGGCGCAAGCCUGAUGCAGCGACGCCGCGUGGGGGAUGACGGCCUUCGGGUUGUAAACUCCUUUCGCUAGGGACGAAGCGUUUUUGUGACGGUACCUGGAGAAGAAGCACCGGCUAACUACGUG